UGAUAACCGACCUCCCGAAAGGCUUACCUAGAGCCAAACAAAAACUCCUGUUACAUAUAAUGUUAACAGCACAGCGCGUAAUUGCUCAACACUGGAAACAAACAACUACCCCUGGUAUGAAACGGGUCAUUGAGGACCUGGACACACAAAGAACGUUUGAAACGAGCUUUAAAACAUUGUUCCCCCCAUCCAACACCACUCUAGCAGCAUGGGAGAUGUGGAACUCAUGGAGAUCGGGUGAUAGAGAAACGUAAAUGUAACCUACCAAUGAUACUGUAUGUACAAACCACAUAAGAG